rnacentral:lncRNA from 1 species
UUUUUGCUUUUUAGGGCUGCACUCAUGGCAUGUGGAGAUUCCCAGGCUAGGGGUAGCAUAGGAGCUGCAGCUGCUGGACCAAGCCACAGCCACGCAAGAUCUGAGCUGCGUCUGCGACCUACGCCAUAGCUCAUGGCAACGCCAGAUCCUUAACCCACUGAGUGAGGCCAGGGAUCAAACCCACAACCUCAUGGUUCCUAGUUGGAUUCAUUUCCCUUGGGCCACGACGGGAACUCCCAAAUAUAAAACUUGAUUACAACACUUACGUUUUUUCUCCUCCGAGGUACAUUUGUAUUAUUCUUUCAUUCUGUUAUUUAUCUAUAUUUUAUUAUUUUAUUGAUUCCAAACCGGUUUGAGCCGUUGGUAGAAAUAUAGAUACAAGAAGUGAAAAAUCAUCUUUUUGAUUCUUGGUCUUCUUUAUGAACAUUUUAGUAGUUCUUUUAGCAGCUGAUUUGAUUUUAUAUUAGUUUUGACAUCUCAAACCAGCCGCUAAUAGGAUUAUUAAAAUGUUCGUGAAGAAGGCAGGACCCAAAAAAGGGUGAUUCCUUUUCUUCUUGUAUCUUUCAACCAAAGACUCAAGCCAGUUUGGAAUUAAUAAAAUAAUAGCCUGUUUGUGAUGUCUUCUUUUUUUUUAUACUUAAAAAUACGUCAGGAGACUAGACUGGAAACCUUUGAGUAUCCUGAUGCUGUAGAAUAGCAUAUCCAGUAACACUUGUUAAAGUGAAAAUUACAUCGGACAAAGUUAAACCUGCAGUGAAGACUUUGUUCAUGACCACUGCCACAGGAGACACCAGAACUGAGUCUGAGCUCUGCAAGAGUGAAAAAGUGUUUGUUAUUAAGAUGUGGAGUGGGAGUGAAGGUCCUAGGCCAUCUGUUUGUUGAUCUUGGCUUUACCCGAAAGAAGAGCAAUCUCGAUAACAGAAGGUAAUUUUGUAACCAGACCAAGGUGCCCAGCAAAGUUAGGCUGCUAGACUGGCACAGCAGUUGGAGAGUAGAGGUACUGUCUUCCUUGGUGUUUGCAUUUCAAAGAGAUGACUUCCAGUCCGGAGAAAGACAGUUCUGAUGUGUACAACUGGCAAGGGGCUUUUAAAAAUUUUUAUGUCUUAAAGGGGAGGAAAAAGAAUGGACCCAUUUUCUAAAGUAAGUGCUCUAAGAAAAGGGUAGACAGGGCCUAGAGUCCGGAAGAAGCCCGUCUAAAGUUUAGACAAGUUGAGGGAGAUAUCAAGGCCUUCUUAACUUCGUUAAGUUGGAAACAAUCAAGGAGAUUCUAUUAUGACUGGUUUUCUCCUCAACAAAAACACAAGUCUAAAUCUAGGUCCUUUGUCUAUGACACUGCCACAGAGUUGGCAGUUCAGAUCAUCUGCUUUCUUCACAUUUCAGUAUCAUUCGAUGAUGGUACCACAAUGAAAGAUAUUUAACAGGCAUUCUGUAAAUAUUUCGCCUUUCUUUUGAUGAAAGGGGAAGUGUUCCGUAACUAUAUGAGAAAAGAUUUCAGUAGUUUGCAAUCCAACAUGACUAGCUCCUCAUAUAAUAAUAAACUGUCAAAAAUAAAUUUCUCACUCAAGCUGAAAGCAAAUAAAAGACAGCAAGAAACAGUAGCUGCAGGAAUGAAACUUUAUUUAUUAUUUCACUGAAUGAUCACUUCAGGAAGCAAUAUGGGCUUAUAGUGAUUCCUCUGGUAUUUGGGUGGUUUUGAUUUGUAGGAAGUCAUUGUGAAAAUGGAAAUCCUUUGGGAACUGAAAUGAUAUCAAACUUGAUGCCUAUUUUCAUCAUUAUUUAUAAAUUUCUGUUGGCAAAAAUGAUAGUAGAGUUAUUAAACAGAGACCAGAUGUGAAUAUUUUGGAAGAAAAAGCAUUUUUCCAUAAUUCAUCAUUGUUUAAUUUUUACUUUGGAGAAAUUUCAGAGGCUUUUCAGAGAGACUAAUAGUUUUUAAUGGAGAGAAGGAGAUUUUGGAGGCUGAAUUUAAAUAGAGUGUAAUUAUUAAGGCCGUUUUCCUUCUAAAUAACCGGUUCAAUUUAGUGAAGCCAUAGUUUGAUCUAGGUCAGAACUUUUUCUUUCAUGUAAUUACUUUGUGUAUCCCUAAGAGACAUCAUAUGGAAAACCGAUGAAACGUAUUUACCUCAGAUGACAAUGCUAAAUUUCUUAGGCAAAAUUCAGGAAUCAGAUUUUACAUGACAUGGAGUUAGUUAUACUCCUGUCUACAAAGAGGGGGGGCUGUCAUAAUACAAAGUGCGUAAAUAUUCUGCAUCAUUUUUCCUGUCCUAGGAAUGUUUAUUUUAGGUUUUUUUAUCUCACGUUCUCUCCCAUCUAAGUGUAGGAUUCCACUCAGCUUCAUGGGCAAUAAAGAAGUAAGUAAUAGUAGAUUACUGCACAAUGUCUAUUCCUUGGUUGGUUGAAACAGGGCCUUCCCUCAAACUUCUGGCUGUUUCACUCUGUGUAAGUGAUUGGACACUUCAGUCUUCACCAAACAAAAUGACAACAUGUCUUCUGAUGAUUAAUCAUUAGGCCCUUAACAAACAUCAGAGAAAGCCUCUGAGACAUUUAUCUCUAGGAGCUCCUGACCUUGGCUCUAAUGUUAUAUUAAUGUAAUAGUCCUCAUGUUCUUACUAUUUUAAUAGUUUCCAUCUGCUUUUUACAUAGUGAGGCUGUUUCCUUCUCAUCCUUCCUGACCCCCACCCUUUUUGCUCGUUCCCUUUGGUUUCUACUUCAUAGGUUUUCUGUGGCAGAAGGUGGGUGGGCCAACAAAUGGAGCACUUGCCCCAGUUUAUUCAGAGUUGCUUCUAAAUCUAGGAGUGUGGUUCUUUCCAAAGUUAGCAGCUUCAAAAUUCAAAAUAGGUCAUUCGUUAUAUGAAAGCUGCUGAACAAUACUUUAGUCUGUGGCCUUGCUCUGACAACCUAUGUCCCUGGGGUCACCCUAUCUUCCCAUCUAUUAUUUCCUUCUUUGAGUCACAAUUCAGGCCCACUUUAGUAUUUCUGAGGUUAACACAAAUCUCUCAAAGACUAGCCACCCCAAAAUUCCUUAAUAGCAAAUUGUGUAAUUGACUUCUUAAUAGUAGUUUCAGUGCUAUCUCAAUGAAAAAGUGAUCAUUUCAUUGAGAAAAUAAUAUGAGGAGGAAUAGAAUCUAUGAAAAUCAGCCAAUGGUCAAUAAUAAUUUAGGAAACACUUUUUUUAAUCUCUAAUUUUUCAUGUAAUACAACCACAAUAAAAUGAGGGAGAGGAAGCACAAAGCUGUAUACGUAUAUCAUAAAUUCUUUGUCUUAAAUUUACCUCCUAGAAAGCAAUCUUAAUAUACACUUCUUUUAUUUUAUUUAUUUUUAUUUUUGUCUUUUCUAUGGCCGCUCCUGCAGCACAUGGAGGUUCCCGGCUAGGGGUCCAAUUGGAGCUGUACCCACCAGCCUAUGCCAGAGCCACAGCAACACAGGAUCCAAGCUGGGUCUGUGACCUACACCACAGCUCAUGGCAACGCCGGAUCCUUAACCCACUGAGCAAGGCCGGGAUAGAAUCUGCAACCUCAUGGUUCCUAGUCGGAUUCGAUAUACACUUUUUAAAAAGACCUCUUAUGAGUUCUCUGGUGACUCAGUAGCUUAAGGAUCCAGCAUUGUCACUGCUUUGGCUUGAGUUACUGCUGUGGCAUGGGUUCGAUUCUGGCACGGGAACUUCCACAUGCUGUGGGAUUAGCCGGGAAGGAAAAAGACUUCUUCAUUUAUAUUUAUUCAAGGUGAUGGCUGAAUUCAAGGAAGCCAGCAUAAUAUGUGACAUUGUGUGCUACCUAUUGACAUGUGUGUUGUACUAUUUUGUUUAUGUUUUUGUCUUUUUGUAAAGGAGAAGUAGAUAUAGAGCCCGGUAAAAAGAUGAAAAUGUUUUCUGAGAUUUCUGUGAUACUUAGGGUCAGAUACCCAGCUCUACUUUGUUUUCAGACGGUGCCUAGCUGAGCAUGUAAAUGACCUACCUGGUUAUAACCAAAGCUUCCAGGAGAAGCAUGCUUUCUCUGUUCCAUUGCUAUAUUAAAGGAAGCUCCAUGGCAGUCCUAGUUCUUGCCUAGUAGUUUGAAAUGGCCUUAGGUUCAGAAACAAAGGCAAAGGGGUUUGAUCCGGCAGUAUGAGGACAUCAAAUGAGGGAGUAUCAUGCUGAAGAGAGGAGAGAGAAAGAAGUAAGGAUAUCUUUCCUCUAUAUCUUCCAAACUUGGGCUCAAAAGUUGUGCCCUAUAAUUGUGUGGAUUUGGCUCACUGAAGCUGGAAUUCAUUCAGCUGCAGGGCAGAGCUUGACUGUGAUUGCAUAAAACAUCACAGGGUCAGGCAAUAAUCCUUGACACAGUGUAGGAAAAAAAUUGGGAAGCAGUCAUGACAAGAGACAAUGUGGGCAUUGGGCAAGUGGAAAAGUUCCACAUUCCAAAGGUCAACAUGUAAGGUCCAUGUAAUCACAGCUUUCAUUUACCCGAGUUUUUCCAUCAGUUCCCUACAUGAUUAUCAAGUAUCUUCUGUGUGUUCUAGUUGGAAUAUAAAAGACAUGUUUAUCUAAAGAUAUUAUUUUGUGGUUGAAAAGGCAAGGACUGUGUUCAAUAAAUCAAUGGAAAAUAUAAAAAAAUUAGACAGCGAGUAUUAGGUAGUGGUAUAAAGUC